AUUGAACGCUGGCGGCAGGCCUAACACAUGCAAGUCGAACGAGUGGCGGACGGGUUCUUAAUGUCUGGGAAACUGCCUGAUGGAGGGGGAUAACUACUGGAAACGGUAGCUAAUACCGCAUACCCUCAGACGUUCCCAGAUGGGAUUAGCUUGUUGGUGGGGUAACGGCUCACCGAGGCGACGAUCCGUAACUGGUCUGAGAGGAUGAUCAGCCACACUGGAACUGAGAAACGGUCCAGACUCCUACGGGAGGCAGCAGUGGGGAAUAUUGGACAAUGGGCGAAAGCCUGAUCCAGCCAUGCCGCGUGUGUGAAGAAGGUCUUCGGAUUGUAAAGCACUUUAAGUUGGGAGGCGUUACCAACAGAAGAAGCACCGGCUAACUUCGUGCCAGCAGCCGCGGUAAUAC
rnacentral:rRNA from 1 species